rnacentral:rRNA from 1 species
ACUGGCCGCGUGCCUAUACAUGCAAGUCGAGCGGACUUGAAAAGCUUGCUUUUUAAGUUACCGGCGGACGGGUGAGUAACACGUGGGCAACCUGCCUGUAAUACUGGGAUAACUUCGGGAAACCGGAGCUAAUACCGGAUAAUCCUUUUCUACUCGUGUGGAAAAGCUGAAAGACGGUUUACGCUGUCACUUACAGAUGGGCCCGCGGCGCAUUAGCUAGUUGGUGAGGUAACGGCUCACCAAGGCGACGAUGCGUAGCCGACCUGAGAGGGUGAUCGGCCACACUGGGACUGAGACACGGCCCAGACUCCUACGGGAGGCAGCAGUAGGGAAUCUUCCGCAAUGGACGAAAGUCUGACGGAGCAACGCCGCGUGAGUGAUGAAGGUUUUCGGAUCGUAAAACUCUGUUGUUAGGGAAGAACAAGUACGAGAGUAACUGCUCGUACCUUGACGGUACCUAACCAGAAAGCCACGGCUAACUACGUGCCAGCAGCCGCGGUAAUACGUAGGUGGCAAGCGUUGUCCGGAAUUAUUGGGCGUAAAGCGCGCGCAGGCGGUCCUUUAAGUCUGAUGUGAAAGCCCACGGCUCAACCGUGGAGGGUCAUUGGAAACUGGGGGACUUGAGUGCAGAAGAGAAGAGUGGAAUUCCACGUGUAGCGGUGAAAUGCGUAGAGAUGUGGAGGAACACCAGUGGCGAAGGCGACUCUUUGGUCUGUAACUGACGCUGAAGCGCGAAAGCGUGGGGAGCAACAGGAUUAGAUACCCUGGUAGUCCACGCCGUAACGAUGAAUGCUAAGUGUUAAAGGGUUUCCGCCCUUUCAUGCUGCAGCAAAUGGCAUUAAGCACUCUCCUGGGGAAUAUGAGCGGAAGGUCUGAAACUCAAAGG